CUUUUCUUUAAGGGGUGAAAAUCAUGUAAUUGAGAGAAAUGACCCGACAUUCUAGGGUACCCCAGGAUUGGUAAUGAACCGCCACACUGGGAGACUUAAGGCAAACUAGUUUACAGUUAAGCAGUUUAAAUACAUUAUUGAAUAGAAAGAUAACCCUUGAAUUUUUUAGGCUUGUUGUAUUUUUUUAGUUUUGAAUUACCAAAUGUUUUAAAUUCCUUUGUGUGAAAUUUAAGUUUCAGAAUUUAACAAAACUAUGUG